rfam:Hordeum vulgare subsp. vulgare, WGS project CAJW01000000 data, contig: morex_contig_364478
UUGCACCUGUGUGUUCUAUUGUCCUGCUUUCUAGCUGUGCUAGUAGGACAUAACACUGGUGCAAAAAGGAGAAGCUGCUCCUUGGGGCAGCAGCGGCCAGACAACCGUAGAGAUAGAUCCACAGAUGAAUUGCUAAUAUGCUGCUUGUCUACUAAAUCUAUCUCACAUUU